rfam:Kibdelosporangium aridum strain DSM 43828 genome assembly, contig: LX79DRAFT_scaffold00002.2
GGCCCAUGUCACGACGGUCGUGUGAUGGCCUGCAAAACCAUCAAUACCGGGUUCGACUCCCGGAUGGGUCU